rnacentral:rRNA from 1 species
AGAAUCAACGCUGGCGGCGUGCCUAACACAUGCAAGUCGCACGAGAAAGUGGAGCAAUCCAUGAGUAAAGUGGCGCACGGGUGAGUAACACGUGAAUUAUCUACCUCCGAGUGGGGAAUAACUGAGAGAAAUCUUAGCUAAUACCGCAUAACACUUACGAGUCAAAGCAGCAAUGCGCUUGGAGAGGAGUUCGCGGCCGAUUAGUUAGUUGGCGGGGUAAUGGCCCACCAAGACGAUGAUCGGUAUCCGG